GUGGGGGCGUACUGUGUGUGUGUGUGUGUGUGUGUGUGUGUGUGUGUGCGUGCGUGUGUGUGUGUGUGUGUGUGUGUGAGAGAGAGAGAGAGAGAAAAUCCUCCUUCGACCCGCAGGAUUGUUUGUCGCCUGUGUUAAUGGCCAUUGCUAGCCUGACUCCGGUGCUAGCCUGCGUCUGUUUAAACAUGAACUCGCGCUCAUGGCUUCCCAAACACCGAGGGAAGGCGGUUGGAUGGGAAAGUUACCGCUUAAUUACCCGGUUUUGUAAAGUGGUGUGAGAUCCUCAUCUGAAAGGCGCUAUAGCAGUCUCAGACAGAUUCUACUUGAAGACAUCUGAAGAAUUUUGGGACAAGACUCAGACAACACUGAGGGUGUUAUGUUUCAGUUUAGUCUCCUUUGAAUGGGAGUAUAAAAAUAAAUUGAUAUG